GCUGGGAGGAAGUCCAGGCCACGUGGAGAGUGACUCAGACAUGCUCUGGCCAACAGCCAGCUAUAGCCCCAGAUCACAGGCAGCCAUGGCAUGUCAAAGAGGAAAACAAAUAGGAGACAGAGGGGUCCCGGCCAUCUGACUACAGCCUUGGAGACCCCGGGCGGAGCUACCAGCUAAGCCUUAGAACGGAAAUACCGCCGGCCUGCUGGGGACUUGGGCAACAUGACGGUUGUGGGAAGCAGCCCUACUUCUCCGGAGAAUCUGCUAAAAGACUCGGGGCUGCCACCACAGAAACUGCAAGGGUGAGGAGCCCCAGUCAUGCAUCUCAGUCUAUUCCUGGGCAGAUUGCAAGCUCUCAGGGAAGGCUGUGACUGGCCAACCCAGAUGAUAAACACGCUCUAGCAUCCACCAGUCCUAUGCAAGGAAGAGACGAGACAGGACCCUGCCCAAAAGCUAUCUGGAGGCUGCCACUUAAACAUGGGGCAGCUGCCACAGGCGUCCUGCAGCCACGUGCCGAGUGUUCUUUAAAUCGCACGGCUUGUUGGCCCAGUCACUUACGCUGCCUGAAAACAGCUCACUGGAAGGCUGAAGGAAUGGCAGGAGGCGGUGGAGCUGGACCUCAGGCUCCCUGUGUCUGGCUCCAGCCUCGGCCCUUCCUGCCACAUCUGGGCCCAGCGCUGGUGGAGACCCUAGGUGCAGGAGUGUUGAGUUUGGGAGGUGGCUUUGCCGUGUCACAUGCAUACAGGCGGCUAUGAAAUCCUCCCCCACGCAGACGGGGUCGUCCCUCCUUCCUGGGUGAUCCAACAGUUCUGCGCCCACAGUGGGUACUGCCCACAUGGAGAUAGAUGGUCCACAGGGCCUAAACUCCACUGGCCAGCAGAGGGCGCUCCCGCACCCUUCGGGUCAUGGCUUGGCUUCUCUCCUUUCCCCGACCUGACUGUCCAUUGAGACUGGAAACCUUCCUCCAGGCAAGAUGGUGUGGAGAGAAGAGAAAGAGAGGGUGGAGGAGAAACAAGAGGAGAGAGAGGAAGAGGAGUACAGAAAGGGGGAGGGCCCCCCACAGUCCUGUCCCAUCGCGUUCCCCUACCAGGAUGGGGGCAGAGGGUGGGGGGCUGAGGCCUGUGAAGGCUGUCUAGGAACAUCUCCCCACCACCCCACCCCCGCCUGGGCAGUUCCUGGGAAAGAAGCCACCUCCACCCAUUCUGCAAACCAGAGGCCUUGGAAAACAAGAUGUGCGCCUGGCCUGGUGGUGCACCUCUAAUCCCAGCAGAGGCAAGCGCAUCUCUGAGUUGGAAGCUACCUGGUCUACAAGAGAAAGAAAACAGAGCAGCAAGCCACCCAAACCAAAGAGCCACGAGGGACAGAAGCUCCUCACACGGCCUGCUGCCACAGGGCUCUGGCCAGAGCCUGUGGGGAUUCUGCUCGGGACUUGGGCCUGGUCCCCUCUCAGACCCAUCGGCUUAGCCCUCUCUCGAGCACACUGUUGCCUCCGGUCCAGUGCCCUCCGCCUGGGAAAAGAGUCACCGGGGGGAGCUGCUGUGGUAGCCCCCGCCUGCUCUGGCCUCUGCUGUAAGCUAUUGCACUCUGCUCUCUGGGUCACCAAGGCCUGAACCCCGCAACUGAACUUGGCCCUCCAGACCCCUCCAGAGGGAGAAUGUAGGGCAGGCUGGCCCCUGUCCAAGCCCGGCUGGUUCUGUUUAGUGGCUUCCUUCCAGCCCCGCGUCACAGUAGGGCUGCUGAGUGGCACUGCCCUGAGUCACAGCUGGAAUGGGGUCAAGACAUGAUCUGGACUCUGUUCUGUAGUUGUUUUUUGUUUUGUUUUUUACUCUUUGGGGGCCCGCCACCUAGCUCCCAAAUAAAUACAUGGAGACUUAUUCUCACUUA